rnacentral:sRNA from 1 species
GCUGGGCGCAGUGGUGCACGCCUGUAAUCCCAGUGGCUCCUCGGGAGGCUGAGGCAGGAGGAUCAUGAGUUCCAAGCCAGCCUCAAUGAAAGCAAGGUGCUAAGCAACUCAGUAAGACCCUGUCUCUA